rnacentral:rRNA from 1 species
GUGCCAGCCGCCGCGGUAAUACCUGCGCCACUAGUGGGAAUCAGUAUUAUUGGGCCUAAAGCGUCCGUAGCCGGUUUAGUAAAUCUUUUGUGAAAUUGUUGAGCUUAACUUAACAACGUGCAGAAGAGACUGCUAGACUAGAAACUGGGAGGAGUCUGAAGUAUUUUUGGGGGAGCGGUAAAAUGCUAUAAUCCCAAAAAGACUACCUGUGGCGAAGGCGUCAGACUAGAACAGCUUUGACGGUGAGGGACGAAAGCCAGGGGAGCGAACCGGAUUAGAUACCCGAGUAGUCCUGGCUGUAAACUCUGCGAGCUAGGUGUUGCACAUUCUUCGGGAAUGUGCAGUGUCGAAGAGAAGUCGUUUAGCUCGCCGCCUGGGAAUUAUGGUCGCAAGACUGAAACUUAAAGGAAUUGGCGGGGGAGCACUACAAGGGGUGCGGCGUGCGGUUUAAUCUAAUUCCACGCAGAGAAUCUCACCAGAGGCGACGGCAGGAUGAAGGUCAAGCUGAAGACUUUACCAGACAAGCUGAGAAGUGGUGCAUGGCCGUCGCCAGCUCGUGCCGUGAGAUGUCCUGUUAAGUCAGGUAACGAGCGAGAUCCCUGCCUCUAGUUGCCACCAUUACUCUCAGGAGUAGUGGGGCGAAUUAGCGGGACUGCCGCAGUUAAUGCGGAGGAAGGAGGGGGCCACGGCAGGUCAGUAUGCCCUGAAACUCUGGGGCCACACGCGGGCUGCAAUGGUAGUGACAGUGAGUUCCGAAUCCGAAAGGAGGAGGUAAUCUUCAAACGCUACCACAGUUAUGAUUGAGGGCUGCAACUCGCCCUCAUGAAUAUGGAAUCCCUAGUAACUGCGUGUCAUUACCGCGCGGUGAAUACGUCCCUGCUCCUUGUACACGGCCGCCCGUC